rnacentral:rRNA from 1 species
GACGAACGCUGGCGGCGUGCCUAAUACAUGCAAGUUGAGCGAUGAAGAUUGGUGCUUGCACCAAUUUGAAGAGCAGCGAACGGGUGAGUAACGCGUGGGGAAUCUGCCUUUGAGCGGGGGACAACAUUCGGAAACGAAUGCUAAUACCGCAUAACAACUUUAAACAUAAGUUUUAAGUUUGAAAGAUGCAAUUGCAUCACUCAAAGAUGAUCCCGCGUUGUAUUAGCUAGUUGGUGAGGUAAAGGCUCACCAAGGCGAUGAUACAUAGCCGACCUGAGAGGGUGAUCGGCCACAUUGGGACUGAGACACGGCCCAAACUCCUACGGGAGGCAGCAGUAGGGAAUCUUCGGCAAUGGACGAAAGUCUGACCGAGCAACGCCGCGUGAGUGAAGAAGGUUUUCGGAUCGUAAAACUCUGUUGGUAGAGAAGAACGUUGGUGAGAGUGGAAAGCUCAUCAAGUGACGGUAACUACCCAGAAAGGGACGGCUAACUACGUG